CCUACGUGUGGCUGCAGUGGGGAAUAUUGGACAAUGGGGGCAACCCUGAUCCAGCCAUGCCGCGUGUGUGAAGAAGGCCCUCGGGUUGUAAAGCACUUUCAGUGAGGAAGAACGCCUGGUGGUUAAUACCCAUCAGGAAAGACAUCACUCACAGAAGAAGCACCGGCUAACUCCGUGCCAGCAGCCGCGGUAAUACGGAGGGUGCGAGCGUUAAUCGGAAUUACUGGGCGUAAAGCGCGCGUAGGUGGCUUGAUAAGCCGGUUGUGAAAGCCCCGGGCUCAACCUGGGAACGGCAUCCGGAACUGUCAAGCUAGAGUGCAGGAGAGGAAGGUAGAAUUCCCGGUGUAGCGGUGAAAUGCGUAGAGAUCGGGAGGAAUACCAGUGGCGAAGGCGGCCUUCUGGACUGACACUGACACUGAGGUGCGAAAGCGUGGGUAGCAAACAGGAUUAGAUACCCCAGUAGUC
rnacentral:rRNA from 1 species